rnacentral:rRNA from 1 species
UACGUAGGUGGCAAGCGUUGUCCGGAAUUAUUGGGCGUAAAGGGCGCGUAGGCGGUCCCUUAAGUCAGAUGUGAAAUCCCGAGGCUCAACCUCGGGCGUGCAUUUGAAACUGGGGGACUAGAGUGCAGGAGAGGUAAGUGGAAUUCCUAGUGUAGCGGUGAAAUGCGUAGAUAUUAGGAGGAACACCAGUGGCGAAGGCGACUUACUGGACUGUAACUGACGCUGAGGCGCGAAAGCGUGGGGAGCAAACAGG